AGGAAAGUUAAAUCAUCUGAUCCUAUAGAUAUCCUGAAUAUCAAGCUCAAAAGUUUUAAAACUUACUUCAAAGGCUGGGGGUCCGAUAGAUAUGGUCAUGAUAAAAAGAAAAAGGAAGACCUUAGAUUGGAACUUUCCAUGCUCGAGGAACUUGAAGAGGAUGGGCCACUUCCUCCUGAGCUCUACAGUAGGAAGAUGGAUGCCAAUUUUGAACUACAUGAAAUGCUUGUGAAUGAAGAGAUUUUCUGGUUGCAACAGUCCCACGAGCGUUGGCUCCUUAAAGGGGAUUUGAACACAGAUUACUACCAUAAGAUAGCCAAUGGGCGAAAACGCGAAAAUACCAUCCACUCACUUAAGGUGGGUGAGGAGAUGACAAUUAAGGGCACGGACAAUUUGAUUGCUCAUGCCAUUAACUUUUAUAAAGAUCUAUUCGGCCCAGCUCCUGGUAAUCAAUUCCAUCUAAGCCCAGAUACGUGGACUGACGAUGAGAAGCUCACUGAGAGUGAUAACCUAGAUCUCUGUCGUGACUUUACGGAGCUAGAAGUUAAAGAAGCUCUGUUUGACAUGGCCCCUAAUAGAGCCCCGGACCUGAUAAUAUUCCUGUUGAAUUUUAUUAGGUCUGUUGGGGUAUCGUAA
rnacentral:rRNA from 1 species